CAUUUUGAAAGGAAAACUUCUCCUGAGCUUAUUUCUGCAGGGCGUUCAGAGGACAGUGCAAUAUAAGCUUAGUAUCUGACAUCGGUUGUCUGGGUUUUGUGUGUGUUCAAGCCGGUAUCUUUAUUGACACAGUA